GCAUGACCCCGCACGGUUCUUUACAUCCAGUCGUCCGUUGGCAAUCAGACGGCAUGGCUUACACAUUUCUCCCUCCCGUCAGAAUUACGCGAGUCUCUCUCAUUUGAGGCCGAGGAGUCGAAUUUCGGAGUUGUUCGGCGUAAAUCCCUACACUCUUCAAUCACCGUGAUUUACCGUCUGGGCAGGCCGGCGGGGGCGCUGGGGAGAGGGCUUCCCCUUUUUGCCACUUGAUUGCUUUCCGGCGACGAUUGUGGUGGAUUUGAAGGGCUGCGACAUUCUGGCUUCCGGAAGCCAGAUGAUGCCUGUUCCCCGGACAGCUGGAGGCGAUGUUGACUGAAGUCGCUGAAUGCCGAGGAGAGGAGAGUCCAUCGGAAAGUAGACCGAACCUGGGAGGGAGAAAAACAAGGAGAAGAAAAGGGUUAGAAUGCGUAACCACUUCGACGCUCAGGAUUCGGCGGGAGAUAUGGAGAAAAGCGGAGAAGAUGAGCGAUAAUAAGGUCAAAAAUGAAAGCAUGCCUCCGUCCGCAAGUGUGGACCUCUUUUAUAACACUGGAUAUCUCUCUUCUCUGUAUUAAUAACGUUUUAAUUAUUAA